UAGAGGUUCUUGUAGUCGAA
rnacentral:tRNA from 1 species